GUUCAUAGCUCUUUGUCAGUCUUUGUUUUUACCUGCUGUUUGCAUACCGUGUGGCCUAGAUGGUUUUUCUGCCUUAGAGGCACAUCUGUCUUCAGUACUUUUACUUCUGUUACCUUCUGGUUUUGGAGAUGUGUAGCACAGACCAUUUCAGUGACCUGUAGCAGUGUCAGGUGCAGAGGAACAGGCCAGCAAGUUUCUUAUUCUCAGUGAAGGACAGUUUGCAAGCUUGCAAGCCGGCCUUUAUGGUGUCAAAAUCGCAGUUUUCUUUCUUGCCCUCUUGAAGGCUAAGUUGAGUCAUCCAGGAACUUGGGAUUUGAAUGUUUAAGGACAUGUUCCAGUCAAAGAAUCGGGUUUACAUAACUCUGCUUUCCAGUCAGAUGUUACGAGAUGGAGAAAUGAAAGCUCCAGUUUAGUUUAAUUAGGGUGGAAAAACAGAACUUAAGUGAAAAAUACAGAACCUUAGAAUUACUUGGUUUUGUCCCUGCCAACACUGAGGAAAGGCUAUCUUACUGUAGGAAGUGCAGUCAGUUAGUAAAGACCUGAAAGAGAAGUGGGGCAUUAGUCAUGCUCCUGUCUUUCUGGUAAAUGUCCUUGUAUUAGCCAGACCCGAGGGCAGGACACUGCCGUGUGCGUGAGCACAUGCGUGUGCUGGUUCAGCUGGAGCCUUGGCAAGCGCUGCUGCGGCCACAGGUUAAGUGAUGGUGAGUCAGUCACAAGUGUUUGCCCUCGCAGGAUGUAAUGAAGUCCACUGAUCUGCUGGUGCUCUUCUGCAUCGUGAAGAUGGCAAGGGUAAAGGGAUGGUUGAAGAAUUUCUAUAGCAGUUGCUUUUAAAUGAGUUCAUGGGGAAACCUCUGCAAGCUUUCAAUAACCUGUAGGAAUCUUCUGAAGCCAGCGAAAGUUCAGACCAUGCCUUUGGCAGUUACUCCAGAACUGCUCUACUGUAAGAGAAGAUUGCGUCCUCCAGAAGAGCCAAAAGCUGCGGCUGAUGGGAGUGACACCCAGGUUACGGAAGACUGAACUGAGCCAAGAACACCGCUGUCAAUCUCCACCUUUGUGCCAAGAAAACUGGCUACAAAUUUGAGACAAAUACUUGAACAAUUUUUGUCUAGUAAGUAAGCCUGAAACACGAAGAAGUCAGCAGCAGCUGUUAUCUGUGCAAGAUCCGCAAGAGGAGCACCUGACUGCAAGAGAACAGCACCUGAGUUGAAGAGUCCCCUGCCCAAAAAAAACAAGGACCUCCAUCGCUGAAGUUGCUCAAAACUCAACUGGACAGGACAGAGGCAACCUCAGGUGGGUGGUGAUGACAAUGGAAGAGCUUCUGCUAUAUUGUCCUCCAGUUGAGACAGGCUUUGUGAGGUGGAUAGUGCUUUCUGGAUGGUUUCAAUGGCUUCUGUGUGAUCCAUCUGUCUCAAAGCAGUGAUCAACUCUUGAACUGUACCACCAGAAACCUAAGAGAGAAGACACCAGAUGCUCACCCAUCAUCCAGCCUUCUAACCUGAAUUGUCACUGCGAAAGAAAGUUCGCCAGCAAAUACCCAUGCUCAUACCUGCUGCUUUGAGAACUGCUGCCAG